rnacentral:rRNA from 1 species
AACGAACGCUGGCGGCGUGCCUAACAAUGCAAGUCGUGCGAGAAAGUCUCUUCGGAGAUGAGUAGAGCGGCGCACGGGUGAGUAACACGUGGGUAACCUGCCCUCGAGUCUGGGAUAACCCGGGGAAACCCGGGCUAAUACCGGAUACGGCCGCGAGGUCUUCGGAUCUUGCGGAGAAAGACGGCGCUUCUUCGGAAGCUUUCACUCGAGGAUGGGCCUGCGUCCCAUUAGCUAGUUGGUGAGGUAACGGCCCACCAAGGCAAAGAUGGGUAGCUGGUCUGAGAGGAUGGCCAGCCACACUGGAACUGAGACACGGUCCAGACUCCUACGGGAGGCAGCAGUGGGGAAUUUUGGGCAAUGGGCGAAAGCCUGACCCAGCAACGCCGCGUGUGGGAUGAAGGCCCUCGGGUCGUAAACCACUGUCAGGAGGAAAGAAUGGCCGGCCGGAUAAUACUCGGUCGGUUUGACGGUACCUCCAAAGGAAGCGCCGGCUAACUCCGUGCCAGCAGCCGCGGUAA